rfam:Populus trichocarpa isolate Nisqually-1 chromosome 5, whole genome shotgun sequence.
CAAUCUGUUGAGGGCAAAUCAUCAUCUAAUUAUAGCAGACUCACAAUUAAUUGCUCAGAACCACCCGUUAUCGUAGGCCGACUACAUUAGUUCUUCAUCAAACAUAGCAGUCAUGAGAAGCCGCGAUGACUUGAAA